rnacentral:lncRNA from 1 species
CCCACUAUACGGUGUUCAGCUUAUAUGUGGUGCGGGAUGAAAUUGCGGCCGGCCGAGAUCGUAAAUGUAAACAAAUUAAGGUUAGAUGGUUCAAGCAAAGUGUGAUUCAAUGAUGGAAGAAGUCGUAUUAAAAUUAAAUCCCAAGACAGUAGCGGUCUCUAAAUGCAAAUAAACCUAUAAGCUAAAAAUAUUAUGGCAGGCAUCUCACUACAUGAAACAAGCCUUGCUCCUUUCUAUUCGUCCUUGAAUAAUUUAUAAAUUGGUGCGUUGUUAAUAGAAAACACUCAGUUUUUGAAAAGGAUGUCAUGCAAUUGACUUGAAAAGGAGUGAUUUGAUCGCAAAUGUUUGCGUUUUUAGUUAUAUCGCGAGCUAUAACAUCGAUCGCUUCUUUUAAACCUUGAGAUCCAAGCUUUAGGAGCGUUGUUCUAGUGCAAGCCUCCGCAGAGUUCGAAGUACGACUCCCGGUCAACGGAUUUUAAGUUUUUAAAGUCGUAGGUUUCCACUCACUUUCCUCCUGUCUUUCAUGCGGAGCGACUUACCGCUAUACACGGUGUGUGUUGGAACUUGGACGAGCAAUGUGCUCUAGUCUCAGUUCACCAAUAUUCUCCUCAUCUUACAAAAUGCCAACGCUUCUAUGAUUCUUAACAUCUUCAGCUCAUUGUAUUUUAAAACGUUACGCCACUCUUUGGCGAUGCAGGAUUUUCUGUUAAAAACAGUUACUACGGUCGAUACUCUACACCUUGUUAUGAAUGGGUGAAUGUCGAUGCAUUAUUUCCUGCUAGCUGGAGUACUGGUGAAAUUUCUUUUAUUUAUCAACCAAAUGGCGAUGAUUACACCAAUCAAAUAGUGAUGAACGACUGAUGAUUAACCGAUUCCACUUAAACGACUAAUUAACGUUAUUGAAACGUCAUGCCGGGGUAAUACUACUCACGAUUUAACAAACUCAGUGACUACGGUAGUUACCCCUUUGAAGACUCGUAUUCAGUGCAAUAUGUUCUGGCUUUUUUAAACACUCUGAGUCAAUCUAGCUGGGCUACUCGUUGAUGCCAUUCUAAAUCUUGAGAAUUAAGCACAUAGAUGGAGUUUCAUGGUAUGAAAUUAUUUCAAUAAGUAUCAUAGGACAUUUAUUGGAAAUUUAUAAAUGUUUCAAUAAGUAUCAUUACAAAAUUCAAGAAGUAUCAUUGGACUUCUUAAAGCAGCUCAAUAUUGUGCUGAUGGCUUUUUCAAGGUAAUUUUGUUCUCAUUGAGGUAUCUGUUAAAUGACCGUAGGAAUUUUUAACUUGAUAUGUUAAGCGACGCACAAAUGAUGGAGGAUGACAAGAUGGCUAAACUUUGUUCAAUUUUAGAGAAGAAAUGCAACACCAUAGAAAAGGAAAAUCUGAUGUUGGCUCAUCGAAUCCUGCAAGCGCGAAAAUUAGUGAGACGUUGCAAGGAAGACAUAGAGCUGCUCAAGACCGAGUUAGAAGCGCACGACGUCGACUGGGCCGCUGGACACGUGGAAUUUCUGCUCCACUCAGACGACGAAGAGCUUCAUCCCACGGAUGGGCAUAGAUAAAGACCCUAAUAAGCAGAGCAGUAUCUAGGUCAGUAUCUAGGUUUCUUCAGAUUACUCGAUAUCUUAUUUAGAGCCACCAAUUAAUUUAAGUGAAUGUUGAAUUAAAUGUAUGCUAGAUUUGUCAGACGUAUUUUACGUUCACUGCACAUAUGCCGGCGGUGAGGUCAAAUUUGUACCAGUUUACCGUUGUUAACUUUACUGGCAGGGCGCGCUAGAUCAUGAAAUAAAUUGAUCAAACCUGCAAUUUGUCCUUCAAUAGUCGAGCUCCAGCUUAUGUUAAUGUACUGUAUAUCACAGGGUAUUUAUUCACUUCUAUUGGACCAAGUGUUAGAUGAAUGCACAUCAAGUUGUUUCAUCAAACAACAAUGAGGUAUGCGUUGUAAUAAUCACGUGGUUUUUACAGAGAUGAUACAGAUUAUUCCGCCCUUUAGUACCUGCGAAAACUGCUUCUAUGAUUUAAUCUUGUCGCUCUUGAACACUGAGUGCAACAAUACCCAAAGUUAUGUUUAACUUCGCCUCAUUUAUUCGUGUUGGCUUCUGGAAUGGACGCAUUGAGCGUCCACACAACUAACUUGAGAUGACCGCACAUAAAUGCGACAUUAAAAUUUGCUCUGUCCGUCCUUAGUCUCAAAUAUGGUGAGUAUUGCUCCUCGUUCUCCGUUGCGGCUGGUCACAGCGUUGUAAUUACAUCAGAGUUCCAACAACGUCGGCCAAAUUUUUGCCUUCGUACUCUUGUUUCUUCAGUUUCACAUAGUGAGUAAAAAUGAACUUUUUUUGCUCUCACUAUAGUUCAUGUUUUUCUUUUUUGAACUUGUUACGUGAAUGCUGAGGGUAUUCUAGUUAAUCUGGAUUAGUUUCUGUUAAAUCACACAAAUUAGAUUCUCGUCUUCUCUGUUCACUAAAACGACAAUGUUUCGCUAAAAAAAUAGAGCUGACGUACGUUGUAUUCGAGUUAGCCGAUGUCUUGCAAAUAAAAUUGUCAAACUUGUUAAUUUUGAUUUCUGACUGUAAAUGAUACAUUGUCAAUGUUUUUUGUGUCAGUUGUAUGUUUGUCGUGUAAGAAUAGUUUUUACUUUCAUAAUUGCGUUUCCUUGCAAUCAAAGGAGCCAGCGAAAGUGUUUAAUUUAUGUUAGUGUAUAAAUUUCGAAGGGUUGCAUUUAAACUUGCGAUUGAUCAUUAAAGACGUUUUACUGA